UUCUCUAAUUGUCUUUCAUUCCUCAGUUCAAUCUAUCACAACACUGCCUACUCCAGCAACAACUACAACUACGACACUACCUAUACCAGCAUCAACUAUAACACCACCUACUUAGGCACAGACUACAACUGCAACUACAACACCACCCACACCAGCACCAACUACAACACCACCUACAUAGCCACCGACUACAACUACAACUACAACACCACCUACUUAUGCACCGACUACGACUACAACUACAACACCACCACCAACUUCAACACCACCUACUUAGGCACCAACUACAACUACAACUACAACACCACCCACACCAGCACCAACUACAUCACCACCUACUUAGGCACCGACUACAACUACACCUACAACACCACCACCAACUACAACACCACCUACUUAAGCACCAACUACAACAGAAACUACAACCCCACCCACACGAACAACAACAAAAACACCACCUACUCAGGCACCGACUACAACAACAACACCACCCACACCACCACCAACUACAACACCCCCUACUUAGGCACCGACUACAACUACAACUACGACACCACCACCAACUACAACACCACCUACUCAGACACCGACUACAACUACAACACCACCCACACCACAACCAACUACAACACCACCUACUUAGGCACUGACUACAACACCAACUACAACACCACCUACACCAGCACCAACUACAACACCACCUACUUCGGCACCGACUACAACUACAACACCUCCCACACCACCACCAACUACAACACCACCUACUCAGGCACCGACUACAACUACAACACCACCCCCAACUACAACACCACCUACUUAGGCACCGACUACAACACCAACACCACCCACACCACCACCAACUACAACACCACCUACUUAGGCACCGACUACAACUACAACACCACCCACACCACCACCAACUACAACACCACCUACUUAGGCACUGACUACAACACCAACUACAAUACCACCUACACCAGCACCAACUACAACACCACCUACACCAGCACCAACUACAACACCACCUACACCAACUACAACACCACCUACACCAGGGCCAACUACAGCACCACCUACUUAGGCACCGACUACAACUGUAACUACAACACCACCUACACCAACACAGACUUCAACUACAACACCACCUACACCAGCACAGACUACAACACUGCCUACUCUGGCACCAUCUAG
ensembl:lncRNA